UUCACCGUACCAGUGGCCCUGGCCAUGCUCUAGACUGGUGUGGGGCCCGAGUGUUGGUAUGUUACUAAUGCCCCCCUGGGGGAAGGUAGAGAAGAGCCAGGGUGGAGAAGCACUGACAAGAGAGAUGUCCUCUCAUGGAAUGGUUCGGUGAGCCUCACAAAUCCAAGGCCGGCGGUAUUCAGGCCUGAUUGCCCCCGAUCCCUCUGCCAAGGCACCCUGCACUGCCCGCCUGGCAUGUGGGCCUGAGGCUGCAAGGGCACCGCCUCCACGUACUGUCCCGUUGAGGAUUAGAGUGUCAACAUAGGCAUCUGGGGAGGACCCAAGCAGUCAGUGCACAACAGUGAGAGAAGUCAGGAAGUAGGAGGAAUGACUGAGAGGGGACAUCAGGGGGCAUCCUAAGGCACAGCACUGUAUUUAUCACACCAAAUAACUAUCCAAGAAAAUUAAACAGUGUAUCUUAUGAGUUGAGAACCUAUAAAUUGAAAAUCAGAAGACUAUUUGGAUCCAUGGGCAGUCCAAGGUACUCAAGCUACAGGAAGAGUUUGGAAAUUGAUUUGAGUCUUCAAUUUUAUCUUUAAUGGAAAUUACAGUGUAGGAACAGUUGGCAUUUGGAAAAAUGAAAACAAAGAGUUGUAGUUUUAGGAAAUAAUUUUCAGA